GGGAUGAAGCUGUUCCUAAAAUGUUAAACUUAUGUCUUCAGGCUCUUGUAACUCUUCUCUCAUGGCGGCACUGAGAAGAGGGCAGUCCUGGGAUUGCUUGAUGACAAACGGGAGAUCUUUCAUUAAUGAGUGAGCCUGCAAUUUACUGUUUGGAGGAUGAUGGAGCGAACUGGAUUUUGCUGGCUCCAGGAAGAUUUUGGGAAGCGAGCGCAUACUUGGAUGGCCUCAAUGUGAAGAAGAUGAGGGGCUUUCAAUGUUUCGUGGCUAUCUGGAGAAGACAAGUUUCAGAGUUGUGUAUGGACACAUUGAUAAUAAAUGAACCUUUGAAUUUUGAGCCCCAUAUCCAAGGAGAGGUGCUGGCCCUGGAGAAGACCCAGAGGAGGAUCACAACAAUUAUCCUGGGAAUGAAAGGCCUAGCAUGAAGAGUGCUUGAUGGCUCAGGGUCUGUACUUGUCCUUCUAUUUGGUGGGCAAGAGGGAGGGGAGGGGUAUCUGCAAGGAAAUCUCAUUGAAACCUACAGGAUACUGAAAAGUCUAGAUAAUGGGUAUGGACAGGAUCUUUCCAUUAGUAGGAGAGCCAAGGAUUUAAGGGGAGGGUCUCUGCACUGCUCCCUACAGAGGUAAAAUGUCUACACCCUCUUGUUUGUCGAGUACCUACUCAUCUCUCCCUUAAAAAAAACUCAAAGCCUCCACUUCCACCCCUUGUGGGGGGAGAGGGAAAUCAGAGCAGCAUUUCAUCAUCCAGCUUUAAUGGGUAACUAAAGCAGAUCUAAAUUUCCAGAUUCUCCUAAUCAUACCUUCUCAACAUAUUCUCAACCAUAUUGCCACUCAAAGUCCAAUCCUAAUCGUGAGAGGUGGAACUGGGUAAGGCCGGCCAGCAGGGCUCUGGUGAGGCUGUAUAGACCAGUUCCCUGUACGGUGGAUGUUACGGAAACAUCGAUGAACCCCAAUCACACCAUCCACUUCAGAGGAUGAUGGAGGCGCGAGGUCAUCGAUGGCCCAUGCUCCGCUUGGGAACUAAGGGCUCAAACCAAAAAUAAAAACAGCAGCCUUAUCAACACCUCUCAGUAUAUUAAGUUUAAAAUGAGUCUCCUCCCAAUUCUAAUCUUCCGCCGAUACAACCUAACCUAUCUAAAUUUUCCUCAAAUCAAAUUCUGCGUACCCCACCAUUCCAUGUAUCAGUUCUGGACUGCUUACUGUUCGACACUUGUCAAAGCCCAUAGCCGUGACCCGUUGCCCAGAGUUCCGAAUCUGCAAAUCCCUGUGUCCAGUGGUCCAGUGGGGAGGUCAAACCCGCAA